rnacentral:rRNA from 1 species
CCCAUCGGCUGUCGCAGAACACAUCCGAUCCCAUUAGACCUCGGUAAUUAAGCUGGAUUGGGCGGGAAUAGUACUGCGGUGGGUGACCACGUGGGAAGUCCCCGUGACGAACUGU